UGUUAAUGCCUCAGGGUGUAGGUGAAGAUGAGGGCUAUUCAACUAUAUUUUUCCAGGGGCCAAAUUUGUCAGAAUACUAUGAUCUGUGGGCCGGACAUUCUCGUGACCUGUACUAUUACUCUCGGAUGUACAAUU